rnacentral:rRNA from 1 species
GAUGAACGCUGGCGGCGUGCCUAAUACAUGCAAGUCGAGCGAACAGACGAGGAGCUUGCUCCUCUGACGUUAGCGGCGGACGGGUGAGUAACACGUGGAUAACCUACCUAUAAUACUGGGAUAACUUCGGGAAACCGGAGCUAAUACCGGAUAAUAUAUUGAACCGCAUGGUUCAAUAGUGAAAGACGGUUUUGCUGUCACUUAUAGAUGGAUCCGCGCCGCAUUAGCUAGUUGGUAAGGUAACGGCUUACCAAGGCAACGAUGCGUAGCCGACCUGAGAGGGUGAUCGGCCACACUGGAACUGAGACACGGUCCAGACUCCUACGGGAGGCAGCAGUAGGGAAUCUGCCGCAAUGGGCGAAAGCCUGACGGAGCAACGCCGCGUGAGUGAUGAAGGUCUUCGGAUCGUAAAACUCUGUUAUUAGGGAAGAACAAAUGUGUAAGUAACUAUGCACGUCUUGACGGUACCUAAUCAGAAAGCCACGGCUAACUACGUG